rnacentral:tRNA from 1 species
UCCUGGCUGGCUCAGUACGUAGAGCAUGAGACUCUUGAUCUCGGGGUUGUGAGUUCAAGCCCCACGUUGGGUG